GCAGGUACGCCAUCACAGUCUGGUAUUUUGACUCUGAGGAGAGAGCUGAGGCCAAGAGACGCGUCAGGGACCUGACAGAGUCCACCCAGCAGCAGGGCAGCAGCUCCAGCUGAGGAGAUGUCGCCACCUGGUGUUUGUCACCCUGAGCUGCAGCGAGGAUGGCAGGAUUCCUUCUGGUUCUCCAAGUUUCUGGAAAAGCUUAAGAAGAAAAGAGAAACUUUUGAACUCCAGAACUUUCACUCUGGACCAGUUUGGGGAGGGGUUUGCUCUUCAGAUAAUGAACUGUCAUUCCCUCAUCACUGCAGCUCCUGAACCCUGACUGAUGCGUUCAGGUGACCUGCAGUGACUGGGGAAUUUUCCUCUUUUCCAUGAUUGUGUGAUUCUCUCUGUGCUGAUUCCUACUGAGAGCCCUGCUGACGACUGCACCUCUGUGCUCCGCUGUAGAGGAGGAGAAACAGACAAGAUGCCUCCAGCCCCGUGUGUCAGUCACUCUGUAACCUGUACAACAAGAUGAGUUGUGUGUUUAACUGGAGCCGUUUGCCAGUGACUGACGCCUAAAGAGCCACCAGCUGAUGUGGAAGCCGAAGGCUUUAACAGCAUCAAGAACAGUGAACGGGUGUAAAUUUGCAGUUAUUUGAGACGACAUCAGGUGGAUGGCGUUCACAAUCCAACUGCAAUAGUUAAGUACAGUUUGACUUGUACUUUUUACUGUUACUUUACAAAUCAGGAUUAUUUCAGGCAGAACAAGUCUAAUACCUAUGAAGCUUGAUAGAGAUUCAGCUAAACAGCUGGAGCCGAAUGGAUGAGCCUACACAAAACUUCACAACUACCGCGUGUUGAUACUGCACCUCCUGGAAUGUGAUGGUUUGUGGCUUUUUCUUGUAAUUACUUUGAUAGUUCUGAAUAUACUGUUAAUAAAUUUCA